rnacentral:tRNA from 1 species
AAGAUUUUAAGUUAAAGAAACUGAUAGCCUUCAAAGCUUUUAAUAAAAUAGAAUAUUUUAAAUCUUG